rnacentral:ncRNA from 1 species
AUUCUCUGGAGAGUCUCAAAAUGAGCGCCGAAGGUGUAAGCAUAAACAGAUAGCUUUUAGUUUGCUGUAUGCGAUCUCUCAGGCAAAAGGACAGAGCAGG